UACGAAGGGGGCUAGCGUUGCUCGGAAUCACUGGGCGUAAAGGGUGCGUAGGCGGGUCUUUAAGUCAGGGGUGAAAUCCUGGAGCUCAACUCCAGAACUGCCUUUGAUACUGAGGAUCUUGAGUACGGGAGAGGUGAGUGGAACUGCGAGUGUAGAGGUGAAAUUCGUAGAUAUUCGCAAGAACACCAGUGGCGAAGGCGGCUCACUGGCCCUGUACUGACGCUGAGGCACGAAAGCGUGGGGAGCAAACAGG
rnacentral:rRNA from 1 species